ensembl:lincRNA Gm26631 predicted gene, 26631
GGUCGCCAUGACCGGUCCCGCCCCGCUCCGCCAGUGGCCAGACCGGCGCGGGGAAGAACGAAUGACAAGACGUAACACGCCUUUAGAAAGAUGGCGGCGCGCAGGCGCGGGUUUCCCUUGGCGCUUUCCGGCCGCCUGCUGCGGAGAGAGCAUCAAGGUUCCGCCCUACCCGUCAGGAACUGGCCAGCCCAGGUCUUGCCUUUCAGAAUUCUCUAAGAACAGGACAUCAGCAUGAGUCCCUGGGAUGAGUCAUCAAAAUAAUAUCUGGAGGAACAUGAAGAGUGUCUGGAGGAAACUAAAAAGCAACAGCAUGGGUUUAUUUUAAAAUAUUUUUUCUUCUUACUCCUCUUCCUCCUCCUCCUUCUUUUCUUCCUUUUUUUUUUUUGAGACAGGGUUUCUCUGUGUAGCCCUGACUGUCUGGAAAUUGCUCUGUAGACCAGGCUGGCCUCAAACUCAGAGGUCUACCUGCCUCUUCUUUCCAAGUACUGGGACUAAAAGUGUGUGCCAUCACCCCCUGGCCAAUUCUUUUUUAACUUACUUAUUUAUUUUAUGUAUAUGAGUACACUGUCGUUGUCUUCAGACACACCAGAAGAUCCCAUUACAGAUGGUUGAGAGCCACCAUAUGGUUGCUGAGAAUUGAACUCAGGACCUCUGGAAAAGCAACCAGUGCUCUGAACUGCUAAGCCAUCUCACCAGUUCCCCAAUUCUAGUUCUUAACCAGGGUAUGAGAGGUCUUCUGGUAGGGGAAUCAAAUUUUAUUAAAGGUGAGAGUAAAACUAGACCAUAGUAGGUUUCAUGGUUGAACAAAUGUUGAACAUGCUGAUGUUCACGUUGAACAAGUUUGAUGUACAUCUUUAAAACAACAAAAAUCAAACUUACUAAAACUCCCCGCAGCAUCUACAUUUAACUUAAUACUGUUUUCCUGUUGGAGUAACACAGCCGUACUGCUGUCCCACAGACCUAUAAGCAGGAAGCAGUGAGAAGCUUGCUGGGAUUAUGGAGCUCCUGAAGUUAAAUAGGGCUGUUCCCUUAGUACUUUCAAGGAAGGAGUAAGCCCCUUUCUCUAGUCUUUAACCACAAUGCCUGCAAACCAAUCACAGCAAAGACAAAUACUCUGAUGUCUAAGCUAACAAGGUGCUGCCGAGAGCAGGCAGAGAAGAGCUGGCUGCUGCACAGCACUUUUCUCCACAUCACCUUGCUGACUGUCUUUAAGACUUUAUGUACCCUUGGCUGACCUCAAACUCAAGAGAUCCACCUGUCUCUCUCUGCCACCCAUGAGCUGGGACUAAGACUGUGCCCCCAUACCCAGCUCAGCCUCUGCUUCUCAAUGCAGACAACAUCACAAGACCUAAUUUCAGUUCAAACUCAUUUCCCUUUAUUAAAGUCCAAGUUACUAUUACAUGGUUUGAUACUCAAAGGAAAAUUUGUUCAAAUAAAACAUUUCCAGGCAACUGUUUCAAUCAAGUAGCAAUAGCAGUUAAGUCCUUAGGAAGCCCAUCUGCAGAGAGGGAGAGAAAAAAAAAAGCACAGAAUUAGCCAGUAAAGUGCUAAAAUGAAGACAUUUUAUUUAAAAUGACCUUUGGAACUACAGCCCCAGGAAACAGCCUCCACCCUGGAGCACUUCCUGCUUUAAUACAGCCUCCGUCAAUUUACAAGGGCCUGACUUUGUAGCCUCUUCAUCAUUUACACCACUGGUACUUAGCCUUUUUUUCCUAAUCAGAAAAGUUUAAAGCCAGGUAAUCCUAGCAGUCAGAACAACAUAGACAGGAUAGUAAUUUCAGAGCUGAUCAAGAUGGCUGAGCAGGUAAAGACACUUGCUGCAGAGCCAGACAACCUGAGAUGAAGCCCUCGGACUGACAUGAUAGGAAAAAACUGACUAGAAAAAAAUGUCUUCUGAAUUUCACACCGUUGCUGUGGCACAAACACACACAAAAACCCACAGGACAGUGCUGCCAUCAGCCCACCACUCUUUGAACUGCUACUUACCGAAGGGAGUUUACACUUUGUCAAGGCCCAGCUCCUCUGGAGUGGAGAUUCCCAAUUCAUUUAAAGUUGGUCUAAGUUCCUGGAUGACAUAGGGAUAGAUUUCCUUAUGAGGUCCUGCUUUGUCCUGUUGGCAAUGAGAAUAGUCUGUUAACAAAUGAAACUGCAGGGCUGGGGUUAGACCUCAGUUGAUAGAAGCCCACCAGCUGUUCAGAAGGCCUUUCAGUUGGGCCUCAGAACCACAACCCAGGUGUGGACUCCUGUAAUUUAGUAGAGACAGCUCAAGUAUGAGAAGCUCAAGGUGGUAAUGACAGAAUUUUGAAAAGGUAAUUAAACAUGCCCAUCAGGCAUCAGAAGAAUUAAAUUAACAGAAGGGAAGUUUCUUAACUUGCUUCCAAUUUAAAGGACUGACUUUAUCAACUACCAGUGCUGAGUGGACGGACAGCUCCAGAAUCCUUAAUUAUCUUAGUCAGUACAGAUAAAGUAUUGUCACUUUCCCCUUACAA